AUUGAACGCUGGCGGCAGGCCUAACACAUGCAAGUCGAACGAGUGGCGGACGGGUGAGUAAUGUCUGGGAAACUGCCUGAUGGCGGGGGAUAACUACUGGACACGGUAGCUAAUACCGCAUACCAUCGGAUGUGCCCAGAUGGGAUUAGCUAGUAGGUGGGUUAACGGCUCACCUAGGCGACGAUCCCUAGCUGGUCUGAGAGGAUGACCAGCAACAAUGGAACUGAGACACGGUCCAGACUCCUACGGGAGGAAGAAGUGGGGAAUAGUGCAAAAUGGGCGCAAGCCUGAUGCAGCCAUGCCGCGUGUGUGAAGAAGGCCGUCGGGUUGUAAAGCACUUUCAGCGGGGAGGCGUUACCCGCAGAAGAAGCACCGGCUAACGCCGUGCCAGCAGCCGCGGUAAUUC
rnacentral:rRNA from 1 species